rnacentral:rRNA from 1 species
UGUGAUGGGGAGCGAAAUUUAGUAGCGAAGUAGCUGAUUUCACACUGUCAAGAAAAGUCUCUAUCGAGGUUAAAGGUACCCGUACCGCAAACCGACACAGGUGGGUGAGGAGAGUAUCCUAAGGCCAGCGAGAGAACUGUUGUUAAGGAACUCGGCAAAAUGACCCCGUAACUUAGGGAUAAGGGGUGCCACCAUCAGGUGGCCGCAGAGAAUAGGCCCAAGCGACUGUUUACCAAAAACAUAGGUUUCUGCUAAGUCGCAAGACGAUGUAUAGGAGCUGACGCCUGCCCGGUGCUGGAAGGUUAAGGGGAUCUGUUAGAGCAAUCGAAGCAGUGAACUUAAGCCCCAGUAAACGGCGGCCGUAACUAUAACGGUCCUAAGGUAGCGAAAUUCCUUGUCGGGUAAGUUCCGACCCGCACGAAAGGCGUAACGAUUUGGGCACUGUCUCAACAACAGACUCGGUGAAAUUGUAAUUCCGGUGAAGAUGCCGGAUACCUGCGACAGGACGGAAAGACCCCAUGGAGCUUUACUGUAGCUUGACAUUGGGUCUUGGUACUACAUGUACAGGAUAGGUGGGAGGCUUUGAAACCAGGACGCCAGUUUUGGCGGAGCCAUCCUUGGGAUACCACCCUUGUAGUACUGGGACUCUAACCAUAGGCCAUGAAUCUGGUCUUGGGACACUGUCAGGUGGGCAGUUUGACUGGGGCGGUCGCCUCCCAAAAGGUAACGGAGGCGCUCAAAGGUUCUCUCAGUACGGUCGGAAAUCGUACGUAGAGUGUAAAGGCAAAAGAGAGCUUGAUUGCAAGACAUACAGGUCGAGCAAGGAUGAAAAUCGGACUUAGUGAUCCGGUGGUUCUGCGUGGAAGGGCCAUCGCUCAACGGAUAAAAGCUACCCUGGGGAUAACAGGCUUAUCUCCCCCAAGAGUCCACAUCGACGGGGAGGUUUGGCACCUCGAUGUCGGCUCAUCACAUCCUGGGGCUGUAGUAGGUCCCAAGGGUUGGGCUGUUCGCCCAUUAAAGUGGUACGCGAGCUGGGUUCAGAACGUCGUGAGACAGUUCGGUCCCUAUCCGUCGCAGGCGUAGGAAAUUUGAGAAGACCUGUCCUUAGUACGAGAGGACCGGGAUGGACGUACCUCUGGUGUACCAGUUGUCCUGCCAAGGGCAUGGCUGGGUAGCUAUGUACGGAAUGGAUAAGCGCUGAAAGCAUCUAAGCGCGAAGCCAACUUCAAGAUAAGAUUUCCCACCGCAAGGGUAAGACCCCAGAAAGACUAUCUGGUUGAUAGGUCGAAGGUGUAAGUGCAGCAAUGUAUUUAGCUUAUCGAUACUAAUAGGUCGAGGACUUGACCAA